rnacentral:misc_RNA from 1 species
GAUGAAGAACGUAGCGAAAUGCGAUAAGUAGUGUGAAUUGCAGAAUUCAGUGAAUCAUCGAAUCUUUGAACGCACAUUGCGCCCCUUGGUAUUCCAGGGGGCAUGCCUGUUCGAGCGUCAUUUGUACCUUCAAGCUUUGCUUGGUGUUGGGUGUUUGUCCUGAGGGACUCGCCUUAAAGUAAUUGGCAGCCAGUGUUUGGUUUUGAAGCGCAGCACAAGUCGCGAUUCAAAGCUAUACGCCCGCUUCCACAAGCCUUUUUCACUUUUGACCUCGGAUCAGGUAGGGAUACCCGCUGAACUUAAGCAUAUCAAUAAGCGGAGGA